UGGACAUAUCACGUUCAAACACACGUUCCCGUACAAUCACUGAAGUUAAGCAAUGUCGAGCCUGGUCAGUACCUAGAUGGUUAACCGCUUGGGAAUAUCAGAUGAUGUAUG